AUGGAAGCUUCUAAUCAAAACAUCAAAAGAAAUGAAGAUUUCUACACACCCAAGAACUACUCAGCUAGCCAAUGAGUGAGUCACCAUUAAUGUCACAGAUGGAAGCUUCUAAGUCAAAACAUUUGAAAGAAAUGUAGAUUUCUACAUACCCAAGAUCUACUCAGCUACCCAGUUGCUUCCAAGUCUUGGCUGUCGUGGAUACUGCUGCAGAAAUCAUGGGAGUGCAAAUAUCUCUGGCAUACUGAUUUCCAGUCUUUUGGGUGAAUACCAAGCAAGUGGAAUACUGGAUCAUAAGUUCACAGACUCUCCAGGCCAUGGGGCCAUUGCUGAGCAUGUGGGAUGAAUGGUACUGGCAAUUCAAGACUGCCCUUCCUGCCUCACCAGUGCUUCCUUCAGUGAUAUGAAGUGAAAACCAGACACUGUGGUCACUCACCUGAUAUUUGGCUCCGUGAAGGUGCUUUUUUGUGUAGAUAAUUGUUAAAUUGGGUGUUCCUGCAGGGAGGACCCUUGGAGGAGGCUUCUAAUCUUGCAUCACUUCCCUCUUCUGUUACUCUUUUAUGAAUCUAGUAUUCUGACCUGUAUUUAAUUUUACUAAUGAUUUUUCAGAUAUCUGUAAUGUAUUUUAAAACAUUCUUAAUUUUGAUUAUUGUUUCUUUUUUCGGUAUCUAGAGUUCUUCACUUUGAAAUGUUUUUUUUCUGAAAGUGUUCCAUUUUAUAUAUUUCUUUGAAAAUAUUCAAGAUAAUUAUAUGAAAGUCAUUGUGUAACUCCAUUUUCUGAAAAACAGGAUAUUAUUUUAAAGGCAUUGUACAACUUAAUUAGCUAAAUGCUUUGUGUAUCUGACUUUAGUAUUAAUAUUUAACUUAAUUAAAAAUGAUAAUUUGUUUUUUCCCAUGUGCUGAAUCAUUUUAGGCUUAGUAAUAUAAAUUCGAUACAAUUAAGCCUAGUAUUAUAUCUUCCUUCAAAGGCAAGCCUAUGUAUGGUAACUAAAAACCUUCCAUCAACAUAAUCUAAUUAUAGGAAGCAAGA
rnacentral:lncRNA from 13 species